rnacentral:rRNA from 1 species
UGCCAGCCUCCGCUGUACUACUGAUUGUGCGAUCGUUAAUCGGAAUCACUGGGCGUAAAGCGUACGUAGGUGGCAAAGUCAGUCAGGCGUGAAAGCCCUCGGCUCAACCGAGGAAUUGCGUUUGAUACUACUUUGCUAGAGUCUCGGAGAGGUUGGCGGAAUUCCAGGUGUAGGAGUGAAAUCCGUAGAUAUCUGGAGGAACACCAGUGGCGAAGGCGGCCAACUGGACGAGUACUGACGCUGAGGUGCGAAAGUGUGGGGAGCAAACAGGAUUAAAUA